CCCUCCUCUCUACUCUUUGCUUCCCUCUUCUCGAAUCAAACGUAGCUUUAGAGAACGGACGCAGUUUCUUGAGGACAUGUCCCUCCCUAGAAAGCGACAUCACUUCUCAUUUAAAAUUGCCCCGGGCAUUUCAUUAUAUUUUCAUUUUUCCUCUUGAAAUUUAUCGAUAGCGAGGGCCUUGUCACUAGAAGCUACUUGCUCUGAAACUCCAUCAACAAGGUCAUACCCUUUUCUGAUCAUUCAUUGUUGAAAACUGUUGUUCUUCUUCACAUUGCUUGUUGUGUGUGUCAGUUUAGGUACAGUUCCUUUUCAGAUCACAACUUUGCCACUUUUGUCGCCCCACCUUAGUUCCUGGUCGUUGUUUCCAUUUCGAUCGCAACUUUGCCACUACUCCUAUAGUUCGCUGCCGUCGCAUCGCCACUGUCGUGCUUCUGCUCACACCGUUGCUAGAAGAACUAGUAAAUCUACUAUUUUUGUGUAUUUUUACAAGUCUGCCUUCUCAUUCUUGCAGAUCAGCCCUUUUCCUCACUUCCGUCAAUCUCACUGUUGUUUAUUAUUCAAAGAUUUAUUUAUUAAUCAAAUAAAUCUUCUGCUUGUAAGCAUUGGGACACCGUGUCAGCUCUCUUGUUUGCUCGUUUGAGUUUGCAUCCCCUGCCUGUUCUAUAGGAGGCUGGAAUAUUUAUCCUUUUGUGCUCAAGCUUGUGUGCUCUAAAAUUCUUUUUACUUUUAAUCACCAUUAGGAAUUCGAGCAUCCGUGCGUCUAUGGUGGACUCCACUGAUUUCGUUAAGCGCAUGGGAAGAGCCUGGUUGAUCUCUCAGUCUAUUUAGGCAGAGGAGAGAAAACGUAAAGUGGGAUGAAGCAGAGCAACGUGCAAGUGAGGGGUUGGUGAACAUGUCUACAUACUACGAUCAAUGUUAGGUCGUUAUAUAUGAUAUUCAAAGAACCCAGUUGAAAGCAGAUAAAUGUUACCCAAAUGAGGGAUCACAUCAAGAAUGCUCAUGUUCAAUAAUCCAAGCAUUGAUUUACUCGUAGGUUGAGUUUUGUUGGAGAGGUAUUUCUUGAUAUUUGACUCGGUUUCUCUUUUCAUCAAUAGUGAUUGUUCAAGCUAUAGGCUCAAUAAUUUUGGCGUACAUGUAUCUGAUGAAAUAUAGUAUGUAGAGUUGAAACUUUUGAUUGAGAAUUGCUCUUGACAUUUUCACCAACAUUUGGACCUCGAGCCACGAUUGUGGUCAAUGGCAUAAUAGACUGAAUCAUAACAUGUUCAUGUAGUUAUAAUUUGAGAUUCCAUCCGUAGUCUGGGCUUCACUGCUGGAGUUACAAGUUUGGCAUUUUAGUGAGAAUAAGUUUAACUGGUAGAGCUUGAUGUGUAGCUAG